GACGAACGCUGGCGGCGUGCUUAACACAUGCAAGUCGAACGGUGAAGCCCUUCGGGGUGGAUCAGUGGCGAACGGGUGAGUAACACGUGAGCAAUCUGCCCAUGACUCUGGGAUAACCCCGGGAAACCGGAGCUAAUACCGGAUACGACACGCGAGGGCAUCCUCUGCGUGUGGAAAGAUUUAUCGGUCAUGGAUGAGCUCGCGGCCUAUCAGCUAGUUGGUGGGGUAAUGGCCUACCAAGGCGACGACGGGUAGCCGGCCUGAGAGGGCGACCGGCCACACUGGGACUGAGACACGGCCCAGACUCCUACGGGAGGCAGCAGUGGGGAAUAUUGCGCAAUGGGCGAAAGCCUGACGCAGCGACGCCGCGUGAGGGAUGAAGGCCUUCGGGUUGUAAACCUCUUUCAGCAGGGAAGAAGCGCAAGUGACGGUACCUGCAGAAGAAGCACCGGCUAACUACGUGCCAGCCGCCGCCGUAACAC
rnacentral:rRNA from 1 species